GCAGUGAAUUGAGAGGAAAACAGGACUUGAACAAGGGCCUGAAGGCACUAGGGGAGGUGGAGGGGAAUCCCUGAAGUGAGGAGGAAGCCUAGACUGGGGCAAUGGGGGCUGGGGCCUCUCGGCUGCCACUCCCUCCUAGGCACCAUUCUCCCACUCAGUAUCCUAGGCUCUCCCUGGGAAUAUUCUUCCUCCGAAGAGCUGAGGUCUCUCCUCAGAAGUCCACCCUUGAUUGCUGGUCUUCCACUCCACCCCUUCCCCCAGGCCAUGAUACUAUUCCCUCUCCCUCCCUUCCUUCCUCCCUUCCUCUCUCUGUCUCUGUCUCCGUUUCUGUUUCUGUUUCUCUCUCUCUCUCUGUCUCCCUCCCUCUCAAUCUCUCUCUGUCUGUCUGUCCCUCUCCCCUUCCCUCUCUCUCUCUGUCUGUCGCUGUUUCUCUCCUUCCCUCUCUGUCUCUCUCCUUCCCUCUCUCUCUGUCUCUGUCUGUCUGUCUUUCUCUCUGUCUGUAUGUCUCUUUCUCCUCUCCUCUCCUUCCCUCUGUCUCUCUUUCUCUGUAUGUCUCUGUCUGUCUCUUUCUCUCUGUGUGUGUCUCUGUCUGUCUGUCUCUCUCUCUCCCUCUCUCCUUCCCUCUGUCUCUCUCAGUCUCUCUUUCUCUGUAUGUCUCUGUCUGUCUGUCUCUCCCUCUCUCCUUCCCUCUCUCUCUCUCUCUCUCUCUCGGUCUCUCUUUCUCUGUGUGUGUGUCUCUGUCUAGUCGUGUCUCUCUCUCCCUCUCUCCUUCCCUCUCUCUCUCUCCUCCCUUAUCUCUCUCCCUCCCUCUUCUUCUAUCCCUCUCUCUUACUCUCUCUUACUCUCUCUCCCUCUCUCUCUCCUUCUCCCUUUUCUCUCUCCCUCCCUCUUACUCUCUCCCUCUCUCUUACUCUCUCCCCCCUCUCUCUCUUUCUCUCUCUCUCUCUCUCUCUCUCUCUCUCUCUCUCUCUCUCUCUCUCUCUCUCUCUGUCUCUCUUUCUCUUUCUCUCUCUCUCCCCCUCUCCUCCCACUCUCUCCUUCAUCCUUCAUCUGUCUGUUUGAUUAAAGAAAGCAAAUUGCGAAACCAUUCUGUUUCUCAUGCAGGAUAACUAUCAACAAUAUGAACAAUUACUGAGUGUGUGAUAUUAUACAAAUAAAUGACACUUAACAUUAUCUCCAGCACAAUCAUAUUUAUUAAACAAUGACGGAGGGCAGCAGUAACUAUUUUUAUUGUCCCAUACUUACUUAAGUAAGUAAGAAAGUAACAAAAUGUUACUUUU
rnacentral:lncRNA from 1 species